rnacentral:rRNA from 1 species
GACGAACGCUGGCGGCGUGCCCAAUACAUGCAAGUCGAACGCUUCUUUCCUCCCGAGUGCUUGCACUCAAUUGGAAAGAGGAGUGGCGGACGGGUGAGUAACACGUGGGUAACCUACCCAUCAGAGGGGGAUAACACUUGGAAACAGGUGCUAAUACCGCAUAACAGUUUAUGCCGCAUGGCAUAAGAGUGAAAGGCGCUUUCGGGUGUCGCUGAUGGAUGGACCCGCGGUGCAUUAGCUAGUUGGUGAGGUAACGGCUCACCAAGGCCACGAUGCAUAGCCGACCUGAGAGGGUGAUCGGCCACACUGGGACUGAGACACGGCCCAGACUCCUACGGGAGGCAGCAGUAGGGAGUCUUCGGCAAUGGACGGAAGUCUGACCGAGCAACGCCGCGUGAGUGAAGAAGGUUUUCGGAUCGUAAAACUCUGUUGUUAGAGAAGAACAAGGACGUUAGUAACUGAACGUCCCCUGACGGUAUCUAACCAGAAAGCCACGGCUAACUACGUGCCAGCCGCCGCAGUAA